rnacentral:rRNA from 1 species
AUGAACGCUGGCGGCGUGCCUAAUACAUGCAAGUCGAGCGAACGGACGAGAAGCUUGCUUCUCUGAUGUUAGCGGCGGACGGGUGAGUAACACGUGGAUAACCUACCUAUAAGACUGGGAUAACUUCGGGAAACCGUAGCUAAUACCGGAUAAUAUUUUGAACCGCAUGGUUCAAAAGUGAAAGACGGUCUUGCUGUCACUUAUAGAUGGAUCCGCGCUGCAUUAGCUAGUUGGUAAGGUAACGGCUUACCAAGGCAACGAUGCAUAGCCGACCUGAGAGGGUGAUCGGCCACACUGGAACUGAGACACGGUCCAGACUCCUACGGGAGGCAGCAGUAGGGAAUCUUCCGCAAUGGGCGAAAGCCUGACGGAGCAACGCCGCGUGAGUGACGAAGGUCUUCGGAUCGUAAAACUCUGUUAUUAGGGAAGAACAUAUGUGUAAGUAACUGUGCACAUCUUGACGGUACCUAAUCAGAAAGCCACGGCUAACUACGUG